GGUCAUCACAUGCAAUUUCAGGUCAACUUAAUUUAAUAAUGCAAUGAAUGCAAUAUUCUUGUUCUUUAAACAGCAUCAGCGUUGGACCCGCGAUUUAAAGAACUGCCCUACCUGGAAAAAGAGGACAGAGAACAGGUCUACACAAAACUGUUUUUUGAGGCAGAAGUGUCCCACCAGAUGCAAGCAAUGGGAAAUCAGGAGGAAGACGAGGGAAGCUCAAGCACAAAGCUGUCAGGAUUCAAUGAAGAGACCACAGCUCCAAAUGAGUCACCUCCUUGUAAGAAGAAAGCCUUAGAUGCGCUGUUGGCAAUUCCUUCACCCAAAGAGAAAGAAAAUCCACAAGCGAGACAGCCAGAGCAGAGGUGUUAAGGUACCGAGCAAAAGAUGCGUUGCCUUUGACUGAAAAUGCCAUGAAGUGGUGGAGAUCUCAGGAGAAAGAGCUACCUGUACUUUCCACCCUUGCUAAACGGUACCUGUGCAUUCCAGGCACCAGUGUGCCAGCAGAACGAGUUUUUAGUACUACUGGCGACAUAGUGAACGCACAGAGAAGUGUUCUGCGGCCAGAUCAUGUUGAUCAGUUGAUAUUUUUGAAAAAAAAUCUGUAGUCAUUGAAGAGUAGCCUAGUAGGUUACACUUGAUAUUUUGUUGAAUAUUGUUUGUUUAUUAAAAUGAGAGUAGUAGCAGGUUCAUCCACUGCUCAUUCAACCUGAAGAAAUGUU